CCUACGGGAGGCAGCAGUGGGGAAUUUUGGACAAUGGGCGCAAGCCUGAUCCAGCCAUUCCGCGUGCAGGAUGAAGGCCUUCGGGUUGUAAACUGCUUUUGUACGGAACGAAAAGGCUCUGGCUAAUACCUGGGGCUCAUGACGGUACCGUAAGAAUAAGCACCGGCUAACUACGUGCCAGCAGCCGCGGUAAUACGUAGGGUGCGAGCGUUAAUCGGAAUUACUGGGCGUAAAGCGUGCGCAGGCGGUUAUGUAAGACAGAGGUAAAAUCCCCGGGCUCAACCUGGGAACUGCCUUUGUGACUGCAUGACUAGAGUACGGCAGAGGGGGAUGAAAUUCCGCGUGUAGCAGUGAAAUGCGUAGAGAUCAGGAGGAACACCGAUGGCGAAGGCAGCCCCCGGGGUUGGCACUGACGCUCAUGCACGAAAGCGGGGGGAGCAAACAGGAUUAGAUCCCCUGGUAGU
rnacentral:rRNA from 1 species